ACUGAAGCUGGUAAGAUUUUGACAGUCUCGCAGCGAUAGGCAAAGAAUGUUGUUGUAAAGCUACUUCUUGAUCACCGUGGUAACUUAAGAAAUUGGUAGAACCAACACGCAUAAGCUGAAGUGUUUUAGCCCUCCUGCGCCCCGCAAUGGCAUCGAUUCGUCAAAAUAUACGCAAACAUAACAAUUUGCGACUAAAAUUCAUUCCCAACCAUCGUGCACGAGCCAUGCGAGGAAAGGAAAUGCUACGUGUACCGUGAGGUUGGAAGGAUCGAAGGUCAUGGGCAUGCAUACAAAAAAUAAAUCAUCAAUUACAAGAUGAUGGUAAAUUCGACUUCACAAUGGAUUCGUGUCGGCAUCAUUUGGCGUACGAUAAUAUUGCCGCGGCCCUGCAGAAUGAUAUGGCAUCAACAUAUGACAUCGACGAAGGAUCUGUGGCUUCGUGGAAAAAAAACUCUUCAUCAAGCGACUCCGGAAAGCAAUUUUCCAAUCACACCUUCCCGCUUUGGACACGUAUGUGCAAAAGGCCAAGAAAUCGAUCGUCACUACUAAACCCACCCCAAAGUUCGAAGCGUACCCACGUACGCCAAAAUGAAACAACGCGUGAGGUGCAUCCUUGCAUCUCUGUCCCUCGCACGGUUCGGCAAUGGUCGGAAGUUCGGUGUUCGAAUUUCCGUAGGAUGCUGACUGGAUGCCCGCGGGUGUGAGGCAACGCGCGGAGCGUGCGAGAAACGUACGAGGCGCAAAGAGUAUGGCCAACCAUCUCUCUUUCCCUCAUUUCAGA